CAAGUCGAACGCGAAAGUUCCCUUCGGGGAGCGAGUAGAGUGGCGCACGGGUGAGUAACACGUAGGUAAUCUACCUUUGGAUUGGGAAUAACAACCGGAAACGGUUGCUAAUACCGAAUAAUGCAGCGGCACCUAAUGGUGACAGUUGUUAAAGCGGGGGAUCGCAAGACCUCGCGUCUGAAGAGGAGCCUGCGGCGGAUUAGCUAGUUGGUAAGGUAAUGGCUUACCAAGGCGAUGAUCCGUAGCCGGCCUGAGAGGGCGGUCGGCCACACUGACACUGACAUACGGGUCAGACUCCUACGGGAGGCAGCAGUCGGGAAUUUUGGGCAAUGGGCGAAAGCCUGACCCAGCAACGCCGCGUGAAGGAUGAAAUCCCUCGGGAUGUAAACUUCGCAAGAACGGGAAGAAUAAGUAGGAGCUAACAUCUCUUACGAUGACGGUACUGUUUGUAAGCUCCGGCUAACUCCGUGCCAGCAGCCGCGGUAAUACGGGGGGAGCAAGCGUUGUUCGGAUUUACUGGGCGUAAAGGGCGCGUAGGCGGCCACUGCAAGUCAGUUGUGAAAUCUCCGGGCUUAACCCGGAAAGGUCAACUGAUACUGCAGGGCUAGAGUGCAGAAGGGGCAACUGGAAUUCUCGGUGUAGCGGUGAAAUGCGUAGAUAUCGAGAGGAACACCUGCGGCGAAGGCGGGUUGCUGGGCUGACACUGACGCUGAUGUGCGAAAGCCAGGGGAGCGAACGGGAUUAGAUACCCCGGUAGUCCUGGCCUUAAACGAUGAAUGCUUGGUGUCUGGGGUUUUUAUAGUCCCCGGGUGCCGUCGCUAACGCUUUAAGCAUUCCGCCUGGGGAGUACGGUCGCAAGACUGAAACUCAAAGGAAUUGACGGGGACCCGCACAAGCGGUGGA
rnacentral:rRNA from 1 species